GACGUAGGGGCGCGAGCGUUUGUCCGGAUUUAUUGGGCGUAAAGAGCUCGUAGGCGGUUCGUCGCGUCGGCUGUGAAAUCCCGAGGCUCAACCUCGGGGUCUGCAGUCGAUACGGGCGGACUGGAGUUCGGCAGGGGAGACUGGAAUUCCUGGUGUAGCGGUGAAAUGCGCAGAUAUCAGGAGGAACACCGGUGGCGAAGGCGGGGUCUCUGGGGCCGAUACUGACGCUGAGGAGCGAAAGCGUGGGGGAGCGAACAGG
rnacentral:rRNA from 1 species